CUAAACCAUGUCCCUCAACACAACAUCCAAAUGCUCUUUGAACACCACCAGGCUCGGUGACUCCACCACCUCUCUGGGCAGCCCAUUCCAGUGCCUGACCACCCUUUCAGAGGAGUAGUAUUUCCUAACGCCCAGCCUGAAUCUUCCCUGGCGCAGCUUGAAGCCAUUCCCUCUAGUCCUAUCACUGGUUACACGAGAGAAGAGGCUGACCCCCAGCUCACUACAACCUCCCUUCAGGUAGUUAUAGAGAGCAAUAAGAUCUCCCCUGAGCCUUCUUUACCUGAUACUAAACAAUUACAAUUUCCUCAGCCGCUCCUCAUAAGACUUGUGCUCCAGACCCUUCACAGCUUUGUUGCCCUUCUCAGGACACGUUCCAGGGCCGCAAUGUCUUUCUUGUAGUGAGGGGCCCAAAACUGAACACAAUAUUCAAGGUGCAAUUUCACCAGAGCUGAGUACAGAGGGAUGAUCCCCUCCAUGCUCCUGCUGGCAGCACUAUUUCUGAUACUAGCCAGAAUGCUAUUGUCCUUCUCGGCCAUCUGGGCACACUGCUGGCUCAUGUUCAGCAGAGCACUGACCAAUAGCCCCAGGUCCAUUUCCUCUACACUGUCUACCAGCCACUCUGCCCCAGGCCUGUAGCGCUGUCUGGGGUUGUUGCGGCCAAAGUGCAGGACUUGGCACUUGGUCUUGUUGAACUUCAUCCCACUCGCCUCAGUGCAGCAUACCAGCCUGCCCAGAUCCCUCUGUAAGGUCUUCCGAGCCCCAGGCAGAUUGGUACUUGGUGUCAUCUGCAAACUUACUGAGGCUGUUCUCAAUGCCCUCAUUCAGGCCAUCAGUAAAGAUAUUGAACAGCUCAGGCCCUCACACCAGUCCCUGGGGAGCAGGGCUUAAACAGUAACACCAAGCUGUAUGUUGUCGAGGCUUUGUAUGAUAAACUCUUAACAAGGAACUGCUGAAAGUAGAGAACUAGAAUUUAAAUCUGCAGGGUGUUUGAUCCAAUUGUUCUACUGAUUUGCCCUAUCAUCCAUUCAACACCUUGGAACCAGAAUGCACCAGUCUUUAAAGUGACUAUCCUGAAGUGCACCUAAUUCACAGGGCUCUGAGAAUUUCCUAAACAUUUCUAAAUAUUUGCAAAGUAAAUUCCUAAAUAUUUGCAAAGUAGCUUCCUAUUAUAAGAGCUUGAAGGAUGAACAUGACUUGAUUCAGAAAUGUACUAAAGCACAAGACUGAGAAUUAGGUGACCAAAUAGCUCUAAAAAUUUGUCUCUCACGCUAUACAUGCAUUUAAACUUAAUACAAUUCCGGAAUGACACUUAAACUUGCACUUAGGCCCUUGCUUAUGUACUGUCCAAAACCAGGACAGUGGUGGUUUUGUUAAGUGUGGCAAUGUCAUUUCCAAAGAACAGCAGCUGUGCUAACCAGAGAGAAGAAUGGAGUAAAGAACCUCAGCUUCAGGAAUAGCAGUUAAUUAUCAGUUUUUUACCUUGUUUACCUUUUAUUAUACACUCUGUUUUAUACUAAAUCUGAACUACUUCUAAACAGAAAUAUUUUGUAAAUGACUAGUUCCAACCACCAAAUUUUAGAUCCUGUCUCAGGAUGGGAGCUUGGACAAACUGACGUUCUGCAGUCCUUUUACCCUAUUUUUUUAACACCUACCCUGUCUCCACAGAACUGUCCCUUGAGUUUUAAUACUAAUAGCAAAUGAAUGGAUUCAUGGACAGAAGGAACCAUCUUUGACUCUAGGCAGAUCCAAUUCAUCAGUCUUUUAAAUCUUGAACAGAAAACAAAGCACAUAGCAACUCUAUUCAUGAAAAAUACUGCAGAAGCUAUGCUGGGAGAAAGAAAGAAAACUUCUGCUCAGUGUGUCUUACAUUCUAUGGGAAAAGGCUGAGAUGACACUAUACAUUAAACUUUGAAGACUUCCUGGUGGAUCAUGCUGCUGCUUUAUCAAUUCAUCAAUGAAGAACACAAGUCAAAAUUCUGAAGAGAUUAUCAUGAUGGGAGUUGUUCCCACUUUGGUGAUUAUUACAGGAUUUUAUUCUCAACAUGGGAACAUACCUGUACAUUAAUAUUCUUUGCUCCAAUUAAGCUGUUUCAGUCUUUAUUGAAUUCAGAAAUGAAUAACAGCAGAUGUAAAUGUAAUUCCAGAGUCUCUGAAACCAAGUAUCAAUUCACUGUAACUAAAACUGGAACGCACUGCAGAGCUCAUAACUUCCAUUCUGAUUCUUAGACUAUUAGGCACCGGUUCCCAUUAUGUAAUUAAUCUUCACCUUGUUUCAUAUUUCCCAGUCAUUAAAAAGAGAAUAAAAAAUAAUUUGACAAAGAGUAUUUCACACUUAUACAUACCAGAAAUUACCACAGGAAAGAAUCACGCUAUGAUUAGAAUUAGAUUUUGUCUAACACUCCAGGCAUAGCAGAUAAAAGGUUGUACUGUAAUACAUGCAGCUAUGCAAGUAUGAAAGUUUUAUUUUACACAACAGAAGUCUUUACCUCUCAUUUAAACAAUGAGCUCCAUCUCCUCAGCAAACUGCCUCCCCCAUCUCCUACAAGGAAAUGUAAGUAGAAAAUAAUUUAACACAGAGAUAUUCUCUUGCUCCUACCAUCAUAUGGGAACAUACUGAGUAUUUCCAAUUACUUCUUUUGGAUUGGGUUUGGUUUCAAUUCUGACUGUUUCAACAUUGGGUACCCAAAUACUCACAAAUCAUCCAGAGCUCUCUGUUUGGUCCUGAAUUCUUAGCUUCAUUAGAUUUUGCGGCAGUGAUUUACAGAGGUAGCUCAUUUUUCUAUCUACUCUUUUAAGUAUCAUAUUAAUCAUUUGCCUGUGUGCAGCUAUGCUUGCUCUGGCAUCUUUGAAAGUUCAGAGAAUCUGGAAACAAACUCUGAAAACUCUCCCUAGAGCAUGAAAAUAGGCAUCUACAGACUGGGGACAGAAUAAAUUACACACAGGAGCAUUAUACCCUUCUCUUGUACGUAUUGUAUUCUCUCGUACGCGUUAUACUCUUCUCUUGCUACAUGCCUGAGAGAUUAAGUAGUUUAUUAAUGCUGUCUAAGGUCUAAAUACAUUCAAGAGAUAGCCUGACCUGGUAUGAUAUUUUGUUUCUCUUUUAUGCUGAACAGACUGUCUUCUCUAUGCAAUGCUACCAAUCUGCCCUUUCCAUUUUUACUUAUGCCCAGACUAAUUUUAUUUAUCCCAUGCCCUUUGGGACUAAAUCUGCUCAGUAGAAUUUAGAGGCCAAGUUUUCAGGUGCUUUUGAACUGAUAGAGAAGAAAAAGACAGAUUGUCCAGAUACCUUGUAUCUUUUAGAAGAAUAUUAAAUCCAGGAUUUAAAAAUCCCUGCUACUUACCACUUGCUGCAGCUAAUUAUAGGACAAGAUGGCAAAAUAGCCUACCGAGUCAUCUGGAUAGAGCUUGCAAAGAUUUGAUCUUCUGUGAUGCUACGUCCUGAAUUCAAAGUUGAACAGAAGACUCAAACCUAUAAUCCGCAUUACUUAAAUGCUGCAGCCUUCGGGUUCAGGGUUAAGACCUGAAUAUUUAGAAUAAUCAUUUCCUGCCUUCUAAGAACUGUGUGAACACUGACUAGUUAAUCUUCAUAUUACUUUUUAAAUAUAGAUAGUACUAUGUGACUGGCAAGUAUAACUAUUUCAUAGCACAAAGGCACAAGAUUUAUGAUACUAUUCCAGGGUGUAGAAAUAGAGAAUUUAGUUUUCUACUUUAUCUCAUAUUCCCUGUGUGAUACAGAGGAGGUUGCUGAGUCCUGGUGAUGGUGUCCAUCACCAAACCUGAGCUGCAUGGUCACAGCAACGUUCUGACAUACUCAACUUCUGGAGACCUGCUUCCAGGUAACUACCUUGUCCUUACAAGCAACCACCUUCACAUGCAAAUGCUAAAUCGGUCCCUCCUAGGAAUAACUGUAGGUUCUCUUGUACACACUCUAUUGGUCCCAUAUUGUCACUGCAAAUACAGGCAAGAAAUAUGAAAAUGGUCUGGCAUGUGCUACUGGGGUGGAUCUGCUGUCAGUGCAGAUAAGGGAACCUUUGGGUGCACUUUACGGUGCAGCGGGUACCAGACAUUUUCCUGCUGUUUGCAGCAGCUGGCUUACCCAAAAUCUGGCCCUAAUGUCACCCCCUGUAGUGAAUUGCAUGGUCAGAUGGUGAAUCUGGUUACAAAUCAGCACUGCUUUCAAAGAAAUGGUGUAAAAAGAGCCUGUAGUUUCCAAUUCUCCUGUAAAAUGAUGGCAGGUUAUAAUUAAUAAUGUCUAACAAGGUGUUAUGGAUAUGAACAUACUUUGAAAAUAACGAGCUACUCAGAUACUACUUUAAAUGUGGACUAAAAGUCUAUAUUACUGAUUGUAAUUAUAUCAGUUCCACAGAGUAUAUUACAUAAAAUAUACUAACAGCCUGAGAAUUCAUUAUUGUUUUAAUAUUAACAGAAAAAUAACCAUGGACAGUUACUAUGUGUUACUUAUAAAUAUUUGCACACUGAUCCAAGAGAAAAUGUAAUACUUCUAAAUUACCUCCAUAUGGUCUCACCUCUAAAGAAAUCAGGUAACAGUCCUUAGCAUUUAUCAGUUCUCCAACUUCCGUAUAUAUGCUUUCCGGUACCUACAAUCCUAAAAACAUAGUCACCAAAAUCAUAAUCAUAAUUAUGAAAGGAAGAUAAUAAACCAUCUUUUUCCUUUCACAUGAACAGCUGGGGUCCAGCUGGGUUCAUCCAUGAGAGUUUCUCCAUAUGCAAAAAGAUUAGGUCUUAAGAGUCAUAGAAGAUGAAUCACUGAUGAUUUCACGGAUUGAAGACAGGAGAGAAUAGCUACAAGGUCUUCAUUAAGCUGCUGAUGGGCAUCUGGCUGAUCAGAUAAUAAAUGCACAGAAACAAAAAUUUUGAGGCCUCUCUUCAGCAAAUACUUCAUCUAUCAAUGCUAACCUUAGACAGGGUCCUGUUACUAAUCCCAUUAGUUCCACAGACUGAAUUAGCUACACAUUUUUGGCUAAGGGAAUGUUAAUGCACUUUGCUGGAUAUGGUUGCCAUACUAAUCCAAGGACUAACAGCUUGAUAUACCACUGAAAUGAGCAAUAUAUAUAUAUCUUUGGUUCAGAUGGGACUUGGAUUAAAAGGAUAACAAAAUAUGCAUUGAGGAAAUUGAUUAUAUAUAUGAGAUUGUCUUGGAAUGUAAUUGCAAUUGAGUCUUAUAUUCCUUCCCCUGUAGUUACUGUUGAUAUGUUAUAGGAAGAUACUGAAGAACAACUAGUUUUAUUCCAUGCUUUUUAGAGCAGAACCCAUCUUGCAGCAGGUGAUGAAAGACAGGGACCAUACAAAGGCAAUCAGAUAUAACCACAAUAGGAAUUUUUCAGUUGUCUGUCUGUUCAGUUGGGACAGCAUUUAAACUUUAAUAUAAAAGAAGUAAAAUACACUACGAACCUUGCAAUGAAUAUUGAAACAAAACAAUCCCCAGUACAAAACCGAGAUGAAUUUCAAUUACUUUAAGGCUUGUUAUAAAUUACCUUUUUUAUAGAAUAUUUUACAGAAACCAAAAUCUUGAUGCAAAAGCUUUAUGGGGACACGAUGACGGCAGUGUUUCAGAUACUUUCCCUUCCUUAAUGUAUUAAAUAUAGAGUGCAAAACUAGGUAAAAGACCAAGAAGAAAUGAAGACUAAAAAUAAGUUCACCAAACUACUAAUCGGUAGUAAAUGCAUUAAGCCUUUAGAUAUAAUAUUAUUAAGUGGAUGACUGCCAUGCAACAACUGCCUUAAUCAAAAGAGCUAGAGAAAGUACCAGAGAGGCCAAGCAUGAGGAUCUCAGUAUUUGGCAGGCUUGCCCUUCAUACCUUUUCCACUGCGAACACGAGGGAUGAAGGAGCAACUCAAAGGCUAAGAAUAUUGUCUCAACACAAAAAGAGAUGAAGAAAAUGAGAAAGAUGACAGCACUUGGAUAAAAGCCAGUCAUAUAAAGAUAUCAGCGCAGAAUAAUAAGACACUGGCAGACAUCCCAAAUCAAUUAAGGAAGAUUACUACAGCAUAGGCCAAUAUACUUGUCUUCGGAAAACCUAAGACGUGGAUAACAAAGUUUAAGAAUAGCUUCAAAAAAUGGAAGAACAUGAUUUUGAGAAGAUAUGAGGAAAAUGAAGGCAAUUUGAAUUAUAAAUCAAAAGAAGGCACAAAUGCAUUUUCAUUUCAUGGGCUCUGUUUGACACUUCUGUAUGACCUACACAGAGUCUCAAAUCACUGAUUACACACUGAACCUAGGAGUAACUUGACAGGUGUGAAAAAUACUUUACUUUCUCCUGCAAGAAGGGAGACUACCACUUGAGGCUACUACUCAUGAAAAGCUACCAAUGGUGUAAUUUCCCAGGAGCUUAUUCUCUUCAAACAGUGGAAUAUUCUUAUCAAAGCAGCAUGUAUAAAAAUAUAGACUUCCAUUUUUUAAAUGAAUAAUGUUUAAUGGAGACUAACCAAAAACUACAAAUAAACUCCUGCCUGUAAAUCCAUUCUGAGCACAAAUAAGCUCAAGGACCUUUCCACCACUCCUUAAAAGAGGGAAAAAAUGAUCAUUCUGGGCAUCUUAAAACUCAGGAUAAAAAUAAAAUAAUCCAUAAAAGCUGUGCAUGAUAACUCAAAAAUCAUUAAUAAUCAGUUGCUUGAGCUACAGCUCAUGGCUGGCAGUCACAUGGAAACUGUAUCUGAAAACAGACAGAAAGCUAAGAUACUAAAAUCACUUACUGUUUAACUUUUAUGAAUAACAAACUAGUAUUUGAGAUUCGGUUCUUUGAACCUUAGCUCCUUUCACCGCUAUUAUGGACUGAAUUCUAAACCAAGAAGGAAAAUCUACCUUGGAUAUGAUUUUUCUUCAUGGUUCUCAAAUACCUAACAUAAAAGCAAUGCUUCUCAUUUUUUCUUCUAAAUCUCUGUUUACACUAUUUAAGGGUGACAGACUUAUAAGGAAAUUGCCAAGCAAAGAGAGAUUGUCCCUUACACUUCAUUGUCUUCUUCUGUGUCCUCUGCAACAGAAUUUAGAAGCAUGCAUUAUUACUCCUCCUGUAGUGAGUCAUUAUCCUUACUUUGUAUAUGAAAGCACUAAGAAAAUAUGAUGCAAAAAUGAUCAGACUGUAAAUUAUAGAUUAGCUACCUGCCUCAGUCACAGAGCUAGGUUGCCAGAACUGAUUUCCUCUUCAACUUUGACUGUAUCUGAUGACAAACAUGAAAUAGAGUAUCCUUCCCCAAAUACAUUAGAAGGCAGAGUGCAUGUGUGCAAGAGCAUACAACAAAAUACUCUAAGAAACGGUAAGUAAUAAGUAUUACGUAGAUAAUAAGUAAAAAUAUCAGCUGGGAGAAUACAGUCAAGAUAAAUGCACAAUUUCUAGUAGAGAAUCUUACAAAAAUAGCACUGUUUUCAGCUUCUUAAGUUCCUUUUCUGUCCCUUUCUGUUAAAACUGUAAGGUUUGAUGAGACAACAUUGUUUGAAUGUUUUCAUAAAAUCUGCAGCAAACCCCUUUUAUCUCUUUUUAUCCACGCAAGAAACCUGACCGUUUUGCCCUCUAUAAAUUGCUCUUUUCAGAUUUCAGUGACUCGGCUGAUUUUGUUCCAGAUUGGUUUACGCUGACGGCCAACUGAAGGCCAUUGCAGCAGAUUCUAUCAUCUUGAAAUUUUAAGAGAGGAUAUCUCUUUCUUACAUUUCUUUAUCAGAGUUUCUGCUUGGUGUCUAAGGUCUGCACCAACAACUUAACAUGCUCGGUCUAAAACAGCUGUCUGUGUGCAGUAGCCGGUCCAUG
ensembl:lncRNA